rfam:Ascaris lumbricoides genome assembly, scaffold: ALTE_scaffold0000809
GGUCAGCAGACUUCCGCUUCAGGGCCUUCUGAAGACCCGAAGGACAAUUUUUGGCAGCGUAUCCGAGGAGGAGCGCUG